UAUAAUCUUUCUUAAAAUGCAAGGAAGACUAGCAGAAGAUUUUAACAGCCUCUAUGGUUCUGCAAGAAGUCUAGUUCAUGUUUAAAUUGUUCUUCUUUCUGUCUUCAAGGAAAUCAAUGCCCAAAGGAAACAACAGUCCAGACUCUGAUUCCAGCUCCGGUGAGGUUCUGCACACAAAUUGUCUGUCUGAUUCUUUUAUUGGGCUCACUGACUUGAAGAGAGAGGACACUUGGCUUCCAUGUACGAGACACACAAGUCCCAGAUUGAAUCACUCUAUCAGAAGAUGCCUUCAGAUUCAGAUCCAUCAGCAACCCCUGACAACAUGGAGGACUCGUCCCCUGAGCGUUUCCUGUCCUCUCUCGAUGGAGUUCUUCUCUUCAGUUAUUAACUCUUGAAAACAGUAGCACAACAUGCCAGACUGUUUGACAAGUCUGUGAUUGAAUAAAUUGAAAUGUCUUGCUAUGCUUAUUGGC